rnacentral:rRNA from 1 species
ACUCCUACGGGAGGCAGCAGUGGGGAAUAUUGCACAAUGGGCGCAAGCCUGAUGCAGCCAUGCCGCGUGUAUGAAGAAGGCCUUCGGGUUGUAAAGUACUUUCAGCAGUGAGGAAGGUAUCGUAGUUAAUAGCUGCGGUAUUUGACGUUAGCUGCAGAAGAAGCACCGGCUAACUCCGUGCCAGCAGCCGCGGUAAUACGGAGGGUGCGAGCGUUAAUCGGAAUUACUGGGCGUAAAGCGCAUGCAGGUGGUUUGUUAAGUCAGAUGUGAAAGCCCGGGGCUCAACCUCGGAAUUGCAUUUGAAACUGGCAGACUAGAGUACUGUAGAGGGGGGUAGAAUUUCAGGUGUAGCGGUGAAAUGCGUAGAGAUCUGAAGGAAUACCGGUGGCGAAAGGCGGCCCCCUGGACAGAUACUGACACUCAGAUAGCG